AUCUGACGCUCAGGCUCCGCCCCCUGCAUGUCUUUGUUGGCAAACAGUUCUGGGGGUCGUCCGAUCCUGCAGGUAGUGUCCGCGUGGGAGGGGAGGUGCAGCCGUCAGCGCUGCCGGCGGCUCCCGUUACGUGAAUUAGUGAGAGGUUCAAACUUCUUCCCCAGGCUUCAGUGUCACAUCUUUUCACACGGGCACCCCGAGGGCCCGGACUGGAAAGGCGAGCCAGCCAUCUCGAGACUGGGCGCUCCUGCCCGCCUUUUAGUGCCCAUGUGGCCCCAUCCUGGGUGUGGGAGCGGCGGGGCUUCCGGGGAGGGCGCUGGGACGCGCGGACGAGGCCCUCCCCGUUUAGGGAAUGGGUGGCUUUCGGAGUCUUCUGGGGGCCCGGCAUGCCCGCUGCUUGCGGGGCGUCCCAGGUGGUGCAGGACCCGUGAGACGCUGAACCUGGGGCCUCGUAACGCCUAGGUUUCCAUUCGGGCGCUCUGGAUGGGUCCGAGACUCGGCAUUUCUCACAGGUUCCCAGGAAACGAUGCCAGCGCUUUGAGUAGCGAAGAGGUGGAGAAAUAGCCCGGGCCGUUUGCAAGCUUUGAAGGUCCAGGCUCUCUUUCACACUCCUCAGUGUCAUCUCAAACUGUCAAACGCAGCCACAUCCGUUAUACAAUACAUGUUUUGUAGUAAAAGUGUUUUGUUGUGCCGUAAGAUACAGAAAGUGUUUUUAAAAAUUAACUUGGCUCUUGCAAUUUGGCUGUCUCAAUUUGUAAUUCACGUUUGGCUCUUACAACUCACUGUCCUGUCCGUUUUCAGGAAUGCUCCUGAUGAGUAAGCAUUCAACUCACAAAUUGCUUUCAAAUGUAACAAAACAAUUUUAUGAAUUAAAUUUAACAGGCCGGGCGCGGUGGCUCACGCCUUUAAUCCCUGCACUUUGGGAGGCCGAGGUGGGCAGAUUGCCUGAGGUCAGGAGAUCGAGACCAGCCUGACGAACAGGGUGAAACCCCAUCUCUACUAAAAAUACAAAAAUUAGCCAGAUGUGGUGGUGGGCGCCUGUAAUCCCAGCUACUAGGGAGGCUGAGGCAGGAGAAUCGCUUGAACCUGGGAGGCAGAGGUUGCAGUGAGCAGAGAUGGCAACACUGCGCUCCAGCCUGGGCGAUAGUGAGACUCUGUCUUAAAAAAAUAAUAAUAGUGAAUUAAAUUUAACAGUUAAUUUGAUAUAAUAGUGUAUUUUGUAGACAUUUACUUCAACAUGUAUUGAUUUUGAUUUUUAUCAUUUCAUUUGAAUAUUGCAGCCAAUAAUUCUUUUUUGGUUUUUGCAAGUUAUGCAUUGUUUUUUAUGGUGAAAAGUUGAACAUAAUAUCUAACACUAGGAGGAGGAUAGUCAAAUUUGGUUUUGGUAGAAAAUAAACCCUGUGCAACCAUAAACUUGUUUUUCAGGAAUAUUUAAGAACAUUUAAAUUGCAUAUCAUAUAAUGUUAAGUGAUAAGUGAAAUUUUAAAAAGCCAAUAUGCAGCCUAGCGCGGUGGCUCACGCCUGUAAUCCCAGCACUUUGGGAGGCAGAUGCGGGUGGAUCACGAGGUCAGGAGAUCGAGACCAUCCUGGCUAACACGGUGAAACCCCGUCUCUACUAAAAAUACAAAAACAAAAUUAGCCAGGUUUGGUGGCAGGCACCUGUAGUCCCAGCUACUCAGGAGCCUGAGGCGGGAGAAUGGUGUGAACCCAGGAGACGGAGCUGGCAGUGAGCCGAGAUUGCACCACUGCACUCCAGCCUGGGCAGCAGAGCGAGACUCCGUAUAAAAAAAAAAAAGCCAAUGUGCAAUAUGAUCUUAAUUUUAAAAACGUCUCCAUUUCUGUCUCUGUGUCCACAAAACAGACCUCUGAGCCGUAAAAUGAAGUGAUUUAAAAUUUAUUCUUUACAUUUAUUGAUUUGCAUAUAUUGAACUAGCCUUGCAUCCCAGGGAUGAAGCCCACUUGAUCAUGGUGGAUAAGCUUUUUGAUGUGCUGCUGGAUUCGGUUUGCCAGUAUUUUAUUGAGGAUUUUUGCAUCAAUGUUCAUCAAGGAUAUUGGUCUAAAAUUCUCUUUUUUGGUUGUGCCUCUGCCCGGCUCUGGUAUCAGGAUGAUGCUGGCC
rnacentral:lncRNA from 1 species